AACCGUUAUAACCGGCGAUGUCCGAAUGGGGAAACCCAGUGUGACUCGUCACACUAUCAUUAACUGAAUCCAUAGGUUAAUGAGGCGAACCGGGGGAACUGAAACAUCUAAGUACCCCGAGGAAAAGAAAUCAACCGAGAUUCCCCCAGUAGCGGCGAGCGAACGGGGAGGAGCCCAGAGCCUGAAUCAGCAUGUGUGUUAGUGGAAGCGUCUGGAAAGGCGCGCGAUACAGGGUGAGAGCCCCGUACACAAAAGCGCAUAUGCUGUGAGCUCGAUGAGUAGGGCGGGACACGUGGUAUCCUGUCUGAAUAUGGGGGGACCAUCCUCCAAGGCUAAAUACUCCUGACUGACCGAUAGUGAACCAGUACCGUGAGGGAAAGGCGAAAAGAACCCCGGCGAGGGGAGUGAAACAGAACCUGAAACCGUGUACGUACAAGCAGUGGGAGCCCCACCACUAAGCCAGUGGUGAACUCCACAUACGCAUCCUUUGCGGAAGAUGCGGUUAACGGAGCGAAAGCGACGUUCAACCUCAGAAGAAGCAGAGGGGGCUUAGUGGUGGGGUGACUGCGUACCUUUUGUAUAAUGGGUCAGCGACUUAUAUUCUGUAGCAAGGUUAACCGCAUAGGGGAGCCGAAGGGAAACCGAGUCUUAAUUGGGCGUUAAGUUGCAGGGUAUAGACCCGAAACCCGGUGAUCUAGCCAUGGGCAGGUUGAAGGUUGGGUAACACUAACUGAAGGACCGAACCGACUAAUGUUGAAAAAUUAGCGGAUGACCUGUGGCUGGGGGUGAAAGGCCAAUCAAA
rnacentral:rRNA from 1 species